CAGAUGGGAGCGCGACAGCCCCGAACACAACAGCCCUGACCACAACAACAGCGAACACAACAGAGACGCAGAGUGGAGAUAAUUGGAUCCAACAGGAGUUCAUCUUGGCUGCCAUUGCUGUGGUCAUCAUCGCUAUUGUUCUGUUAUACUCUCUCAUCUUUCAAAUCUGCAAAUUAGUUGAUAACAGGUCUCCACCAGCAACACCACAAGAAGAAAUACCACUCCAAUCGGUGCAUGCAAGAGUGAACGACAGACAACAGACAAGAGGUCGUAGCUACAAGGAGAAAAUUAACUCUCUAUAUGACACAUCAGCUAUAUCCUGGAGCCACAGGAACUGUAAAUCUAACCACAAUGUUGACCUCAACUAUCAACUACCCGAUCUCUGAGGCAUAGACAGCAACACAGCACAUGCACUUUAAAAGGCUUCAAACAGCGGACUGUUCUCUUUGGACACUUGCGAGUCUUGCUUUUCAUGUCA